UCUGGUAAUCGCGGUCUAUUUUUAAUAGGCUGAGGAAAGUCCAAGCUUGCACAGGCUGAGAUGCUUGUAGUGAUCGUGCUUGCCGAAAAAAUAAGGCAAGGUACUCUUUGAGUAACGGCGGAUAAAAAGGCUAAGGUUUGUAACUAUGUCUGAGUAAUCCUGAAAAGUGCCACAGUGACGAAGCAGAACGGGAAACCGUUCUGGUGGAACGCGGUAAACCCCUCGAGCAGGUAACCCAAACUUUGGUAGGGGCGCUUCAUGACGGAAAUGAACUAAUCAUGGGGGCGAUGAAUAUAUUUUCAUUUGCAGAUAGAUGAUUACCACCGAUUUUGGUUUCCUGGACCAAAUGACGUACAGAACGUGGCUUAUAG
rnacentral:RNase_P_RNA from 1 species